CCGAGUGGUUCAUAAGUCGUCUGUUUUAGUUCCCAUAAAACUGCUACUUGGCAGAUGAAACCAAAGGCCAGAGAAGCUAUGUGACCUGGCUGAUGCCCGGUCCAUAGUAGGUACUGAAUACAUGCUUGUUGGCUAAAUGAUCUAGAAGUACUGGAGGUGGAAUUUCAACCUGCAUCCUCUGAAUUCAAGGUCCUCUUUGAUGCUACAAGACAGAACCAAAGGUCGGGAUAGACCCCUCAGGGCUACUACUUAGGAAUCUGAAGCUUCCCAGAUAUCACUGCAUUCAACUACAAAGAAGUUAAAAUCAUCACAAGAACCUUUGAACCAGAUUGUAGAUUAAUCUAACUCAUCAAACCACAAUCUCCCAAUAGUCUGUCUUUCCUUUUUUCCCCCUAAACACUCUUUCAAAAACAAUUAAGUCCUUAUAAACAUUGCCAGUUCUUAUCGCGCUUGCAUCAGUCUAAAGUUUAACCCUUCAUGGUAGAGUAAGCACCAAACUAUUGUGCUGGAAACAGAUGUUCUACCCAAACGACAUAAUCAAAAGACAUCACCCUCACUUAUUAGCAUACUGUUUAAUAUUCACCACAACCUGUUUUAAAGAACAACAAUGUGUUAACAUUUAAGCCUGGAGGGAUCGGAAUACACUAUAUACUGUAUUUGAUGCAGCCUGUUUAUGCAACAUUCUGACAGAUACAAUUAAUCUCGUGAAAAUGACCUGGGUAGAGCAUAAUAGCAAAUUAUCUUUAAAGUCAUACCACACAUUUUCCCUGCAAUAAUAAGCACCUCAUAAAAUCCACUACGACAUGAGUGCAUGGUGAGAACAUUAAAAGUUACUUAAAAGAAGAAACUGAAAUUCAUUAAAUACAUAAAUCUUAGAAUGCAAUAGAGAUGAGGGUUAAAGAAAACAUUUAAAUUCCAAAUAAGUGUAAAAUAAAUGA